CGCCAAGGCGGCAGCUACCAUGCAGUCGAGCGGAUGAAGGAGCUUGCUCCUGGAUUCAGCGGCGGACGGGUGAGUAAUGCCUAGGAAUCUGCCUGGUAGUGGGGGACAACGUUUCGAAAGGAACGCUAAUACCGCAUACGUCCUACGGGAGAAAGCAGGGGACCUUCGGGCCUUGCGCUAUCAGAUGAGCCUAGGUCGGAUUAGCUAGUUGGUGAGGUAAUGGCUCACCAAGGCGACGAUCCGUAACUGGUCUGAGAGGAUGAUCAGUCACACUGGAACUGAGACACGGUCCAGACUCCUACGGGAGGCAGCAGUGGGGAAUAUUGGACAAUGGGCGAAAGCCUGAUCCAGCCAUGCCGCGUGUGUGAAGAAGGUCUUCGGAUUGUAAAGCACUUUAAGUUGGGAGGAAGGGUUGUAGAUUAAUACUCUGCAAUUUUGACGUUACCGACAGAAUAAGCACCGGCUAACUCUGUGCCAGCAGCCGCGGUAAUACAGAGGGUGCAAGCGUUAAUCGGAAUUACUGGGCGUAAAGCGCGCGUAGGUGGUUUGUUAAGUUGGAUGUGAAAUCCCCGGGCUCAACCUGGGAACUGCAUCCAAAACUGGCAAGCUAGAGUAUGGUAGAGGGUGGUGGAAUUUCCUGUGUAGCGGUGAAAUGCGUAGAUAUAGGAAGGAACACCAGUGGCGAAGGCGACCACCUGGACUGAUACUGACACUGAGGUGCGAAAGCGUGGGGAGCAAACAGGUAAACCC
rnacentral:rRNA from 1 species